CUGAACUUAAGCAUAUCAAUAAG
rnacentral:rRNA from 1 species